CGGAUCCGCGCCGCUGCAGAGUUUGAUCCUGGCUCAGAUUGAACGCUGGCGGCAGGCUUAACACAUGCAAGUCGAGCGGAAACGAUGAUAGCUUGCUAUCAGGCGUCGAGCGGCGGACGGGUGAGUAUUACUUAGGAAUCUACCUAGUAGUGGGGGAUAGCUCGGGGAAACUCGAAUUAAUACCGCAUACGACCUACGGGAGAAAGGGGGCAACUUGUUGCUCUCGCUAUUAGAUGAGCCUAAGUCGGAUUAGCUAGAUGGUGGGGUAAAGGCCUACCAUGGCGACGAUCUGUAGCUGGUCUGAGAGGAUGAUCAGCCACACCGGGACUGAGACACGGCCCCGACUCCUACGGGAGGCAGCAGUGGGGAAUAUUGGACAAUGGGGGCAACCCUGAUCCAGCCAUGCCGCGUGUGUGAAGAAGGCCUUUUGGUUGUAAAGCACUUUAAGCAGUGAAGAAGACUCCGUGGUUAAUACCCACGGACGAUGACAUUAGCUGCAGAAUAAGCACCGGCUAACUCUGUGCCAGCAGCCGCGGUAAUACAGAGGGUGCAAGCGUUAAUCGGAAUUACUGGGCGUAAAGCGAGCGUAGGUGGCUUGAUAAGUCAGAUGUGAAAUCCCCGGGCUUAACCUGGGAACUGCAUCUGAUACUGUUAGGCUAGAAUAGGUGAGAGGAAGGUAGAAUUCCAGGUGUAGCGGUGAAAUGCGUAGAGAUCUGGAGGAAUACCGAUGGCGAARGCAGCCUUCUGGCAUCAUAUUGACACUGAGUUCGAAUGCGUGGGUAGCAAACAGGAUUAGAUACCCUGGUAGUCCACGCCGUAAACGAUGUCUACUAGUCGUUGGGUCCCUUGAGGACUUAGUGACGCAGCUAACGCAAUAAGUAGACCGCCUGGGGAGUACCGCCGCAAGGUUAAAACUCAAUUGAAUUGACGGGGGCCCGCACAAGCGGUGGAGCAUGUGGUUUAAUUCGAUGCAACGC
rnacentral:rRNA from 1 species